rnacentral:rRNA from 1 species
AGUGAACGCUGGCGGUAGGCCUAACACAUGCAAGUCGAACGGCAGCACAGUAAGAGCUUGCUCUUACGGGUGGCGAGUGGCGGACGGGUGAGGAAUACAUCGGAAUCUACUUUUUCGUGGGGGAUAACGUAGGGAAACUUACGCUAAUACCGCAUACGACCUACGGGUGAAAGCAGGGGAUCUUCGGACCUUGCGCGAUUGAAUGAGCCGAUGUCGGAUUAGCUAGUUGGCGGGGUAAAGGCCCACCAAGGCGACGAUCCGUAGCUGGUCUGAGAGGAUGAUCAGCCACACUGGAACUGAGACACGGUCCAGACUCCUACGGGAGGCAGCAGUGGGGAAUAUUGGACAAUGGGCGAAAGCCUGAUCCAGCCAUACCGGGGGGGUGAAGAAGGCCUUCGGGUUGUAAAGCCCUUUUUUUGGGAAAAAAAAGCAGCAGGUUAAAACCCCGCUGUUCUGACGGUACCCAAAGAAAAAGCACCGGCUAACUUCGU